CAGAAGCACCAAACACAAGUGGAAGAAGAGUGAAGGACCAUCAGCACUCAUAAACAGCCUUAUUCUGAUAUAGUGUGGGCUUUGAUCCAGACUAGAUGAAUGCUGUCUUACCCGGGGGCUAUUGCACAAAAGUAGAAUAAAGAUAUCCAGGAUAACUGAAAAAGCGCAGCUAUCCGCUGUUAUCCGCUCAUCGCGGCUGAAUCGGUUGCACGUUUGCCAAGCCAGGAUGAGAAGGUGCCGCUAUGUCAAUCCAGGUGUACAUAGUUGGGAUAAGUGCACCUUGACGGAUUUCUUAAAUAGACCACGGUAUCGAUCACAAAUUCACUGAUGCAGAAAUGGAGAAGACACGUGCAGCAUAUUUUUCUCCCGCUGAGCAGCAAUUAUUAAUGACAAUUUAUGAAGAAGUGAAGCAUAUAAUAUAUAAAAAGGGUAAUACAGCAGCCGUUAUUAAACAGCGAGAACAAGCCUGGCAGACAAUCGCUGACCGACUGAAUGCAACAAACAUGACUGGACAAAAGCGAACUUGGCAACAAGUCAAAAUAAAAUACAAAAACAUUUUGCAGUCUGUGAAGAAGAAGACUCAUUGUCUGGCACUGGGGGAGGGCCACCAGCUCCAGGCUUCACCCCAGCAGAGGAAUUGUCCCUUGUGUUAAAUAAAGGAAGGCCUGUGAUGGAAGGGAUUCAGGGUGGGACAGCUACUGACUGUGUUCUACCUACAGAAACUGCCCUCCUCAUACAUGUGUCCGGCGACACAGUUACACUCCUGCCACCAGACGAAGAUCCAGUGAGUAUUAUUCGUUAAAAGCACAAAGCUUGGCACAUCGUGUCAAUACAAAUUAUAUUCAAUAUGGCAGGGGGAAGGAACUUCUGCAGUAUGGGAAGGGGCUUCUUCAGAUAAUGACGAGGAGACUGUGUCCCUGGACUCCAGAAGGCCUGAGGUAUCAUGUCAAUUGUAUGGAAAUGCAUAUUAUUCUUUGAUCCAGAAGGGCAAUUUGUAUAAAGCAAGAAGACAUCACAUGAGAAUACAACACAAACCACACAACAAUUAACACAAUAAAAGUAUUUUAUAUAGCAUUCAUAUUUGUAACAGGAUCCAGACAGAGUACAGCCUGACAGCCAGCUUGGCAACAUAGUAAGUAUGGGCUCUAAAGUAAAUCUAAAUGAUACAAGAUUCCUGCUGUGUUAAUCAAUGGGUGGUUUACAGAAUUCACAAACUGUCAGAUGUCUGUACAGUCAAGAUCUCAAAAAACGAAUUGAGCUGGCAGAUACUCAGGUUGCCCUCAAGAAAAUGAGUCUCCAUGAUCUGGACCUUGGUAUUGAAAUAAAGAAAAAGAAACUGAGGAAACUGGAUCUGGAGAUAAAGAAACUAGAAAAAGAAGUAAAUGACUUCAAUCCAUACUUCAAGCAUAUCUGUAAAACAAUGUAUUAAUUAUGUUUUUCUCCCCAGCUCUCCUAAGGACAAGACAAUAAAAUCUGUCAUCUAAAAUAAUUGAUGUAUUGGUCUCUAACUAGCCUGCCAUUGAUGUCAUCUGGGAAUAUAGCUGCAUUGUCCCACUCAAUCUCUGGUGCCAGUGCAGGACCCCUUUCCCUCCUCAGACAGGCAACAUUGUGUAGGACAGUGCAGGCUACAGUGAUGUCACAUGCCCUGUCUGGGGUGACCCUCAGAUGGUGGAGACACUGAAAACGGGAUUUGAGAAGGCCAAAUGCCAUUUCAAUUCGGGACCUUGUUCUUGCAUGGGCAAGAUUGUAUCCUUGUUGCGCUGCUGUCUGAGGGUCUGCUAGGGGAGUGAGAAGGUAUGUCUCACAGGCGUAACUCUUGUCUCCCAGAAGAACGCCAGAGAAUUCACCUGAGAAUACAAAAUGUAAUCAUUACAACUACACAAACACAAUUGCGUCAAAUGGUUUACUUAUCACCGAAAUGUGUGUGGCCUACCUUGUGAUAGUCGCUGGCAAAUGGUACUCGACUUAAAAACCCGGGAGUCAUGGACA